rnacentral:lncRNA from 1 species
CGGCAACAUCAUUGUCUUGAAUGAAACGAGUUUCGUUCAAAUUAAAAGCUUCAAGACUCAUCGCGAAGGCAUUCGAGACUCGAGAGAAAUGCGAGAACCCUAUCGAGGAAGAAGUGAAAAUGCCUGAAAAAUGAGCUUAGUUUUUCAGAAACUCACUUGAACUGGCGAUUUAUUUUUAAAUAUAGAAUUUGGUAAGAAGAAUGUGAAUAAGAUGGAAGAAUAUGAAAGAAUGGUGCAUGAUUUGAUGUAAAAAAAUAUGUAGAAAGUGAAGAUAUUUAUAGAUAAAUAAAUGAAAUAGAAAAAAAAAAAAAAGUGAAGAAGAUCGUUACCAUUGGGUCUGAAAUAUAAAAAAAAUAAAUCAAAACUUUAAGAAUCUAAAAUUAAUUUUAGAUUUUUUAAAAUUAAAGGCACGUGCAAGCACGCGUCGUACACAGUGGCGCAAAAGCCCGGUGCGUCUAUUUAAUAAUUAAAAAACACAUUUCAGUUCAUCUAUUAUAAUUAAAAUUUUAUUUAUAACUAAAAUUUAUUAAAUUUUAAAUAUAUUUAAUUAAAAUGAAUGCAUCUUAAUUACAUUCAAAUACACACAAAUUUUUGCCUAUAGAAACUGUAACAUGAUUUUAUAAUCGUUCAAAUAUAGCCAGGUAAUAGAAAAACGCAUUUCGUCACAGGAAAAUAGCAUUACGAAAUAUGGUGCUGUGUGAGGAAUUAAAUAAUUAUUAUAUUGACAUAACAUGAUUUAAUUUGUCGUGAUUAAAAGAAACUAACAUGAUUUGUUCAAUGAUCAUUUAUGUUAAUUUUAAGAAUUUCCUGUCAUAUUUAUGCUGAUUGCGCACAACUUUUUAUUUAAUGACAUAGUGUGAUAGAUUGACAUAAAAAAUGUUGAUGUAAUUCAAAGUUGAAAUAUUUGACUUACAAAAUAUAAAUUAGAGAGUCUAUCCCUCCAUCAAUUAUUGAUCCAUUUCAUAAUGACAAAGGUUCUAAAAAAUUUGUUGAGUGUGUCGUGACUAGAGCAAGUGAGAGUCUCACAUUGAAUAUAAUUGUAAAUGAAUUGAUUUAUUGAAUGAUGGGUACAAUUAUAAUUAAUGAUAAUAUUGGUAAAUAAUGGGUAAUAUUGAGAACUAAAAUUAGAGGAUUGUGUGAGAUAAAUUUACAAAAAAUUAAAUGAAUCAAGUCUUUUGUAAAAUGACCCAAAAUAGAAAAAAUGAUCAUAAAUUAGUGGACAAACAUAACACGAUAUUUUAUCAUUUUUUUUAUAGGGAACUAAUGGAACAACUUUUGUAAACAAGCUUGGAGUAACUACUACUCAAAAAAAAAAAAAGUUUGGAGUAACUAAAGGAAAGUUUGGUUCAAAAACCAGUUAGGGCAUCUCUAGCAUGUUGCUCCACGAGUAUUUUUGUGUGCGUGUGUUGGUUUAGCGAUAGGAGGUUAAUGUUCAAAACUUAAGAUCUUGAAUUCGAGUCCUCGAUCGUGCAGUCUUUGAAUUUCUUUAUUUAUUUAUAUAAUUUAUCAAAGAAAAUUAUGAAAAAUAAAUAGUAUGCGUGUGUUGGCCUAAUAUGGUUAAUACCCAAUGUCUGAGAUUUUGGAUUCGAGUUUAUCUUCAUACGAUCUUUAAAUUUCUUUAUUUAUUUGUGUAAUUUAUAUAUAAAAAAAUUACUACUUAACUUGAACUCCUCCAUCGUUACUUCGUUAGUGAAAAAUAGCCACUUCUAAACACUCGUAAUUAAUGGAUGAAAAGUUAUCGCCUAUUGAAUCGCACUUUCAUGAAAUGUGAAACUAUAUCUCCGUCCUCACGUCCUCCAUAUUUAUGUAUAUAUAUUUUUUAUAUAUAUCUUUUAAAUUUAUGCACAUUUUAUUUUUGGACAUUAUUUCAUACAUAAUUUUUAUAAUUUUACUCUUAUAACUUACACUAUUUACCCAUAUACUUAAAACAACUUUUCAUUAAAUUUGGUGCUAAAAACAUAUCUGUAUAUUUAUGGAUACGGAGAGAGUAUGAUUUAAGUUUGUUUUACAUACUAAAUGUAUUUUUUAAGAGUUUGUAAAUUUUAAAGAAUUUUUAUAAAUUGUUUUAAAAAUCAUAUAAGAUCUGUCAAACACUUUCGUCAAUACAUUUGAGAUCUCAAACUGAACCAGUUAUGAACCAUUUUGGAUAAUAUAAAUAAAAAAAGAGUCAUAUAUGUAACUGUAACCCUUGUGAGUUGUGAAUUUUUCAUUUAUAGGAGUAUAAAAUUAAAUAUAUAAACAAGGUUAGACUAAGAGGGUGUUUGGCUGAACUUAUAAGCUCCUCAAAAUAGUAGCUUAUAAGCUGCUUAGAAGCUUAUAAGUUUCUUCAAAGUGUUUGGCAAAAUAAGCUCCUAAUUAGCUUAUAAGCUCCAAAAAUAAGCUCUAAGAGCUUAUAAGCUCCUCAAAAAAUAAAUUCCUCUACCCCUACUUAUAUUUUUAUAAUCUCACAUACAACAAUCAUUUUACAAAUAUUUUUCAACUAUAAUUUAUUAUUUUCAUCAUUAAUCGUUUAAGUUCAUUUCUCUUCGAUUUUGUCUCUCUAAAAAAUAUUUUCUCUCUCCAGCUUAUAAGUUCAAUUAUCCAAACAAUUUGACAACUUAUAAGCUCUUAAAAUUUACAUCUUAUAAGCUCCAAGAGCUUAUAAGCUCUUUAAAAUAAGCUUAGCCAAAUUAUCCCGGAAUCAGUAAAUCUCUUCAUUUUUAGGGGUAGUUUGGAUGGAUAUGUAUUUUGGUGUUUAAAAAUUGAGUGAAAAUUCAAUAAUUAUAAUAAAAUUGAAAAUUUAUUUAUAAAUUAUUAUUUUUUUUAUUUUUAUUUCCUUUUUCUAUCUUUUUAUUGAUUUAUUUCUUUUUAAAAUUGUGAAAUCGACUAAUUAUAUUAUUAGAUAUAUUCUAUAUAAAUAUUUAAUUUUAAAUAUAAAAUGUAUAUUUAUUCAAAGAUUAAAAUUUUAAAAAAUCUCUCUCCUCUUUUAUCUUUUUUUGAAUAAAUCUAUUUUUAAUUUUUUUUGCCUUUUCAUACUAUCAAUUUUUAUUAUUGUGACUUUUUUACAAUAUUCAGUUCAAAUAUAUUUUCAAUUAAAAUCUAUACGAACAAAAAUGAUGGAAGUAAAAUUUGGAAAACUAAUAAAUAAUUGAAUUCUCAUAUAUAUAUUUUCAACCACCUCAAUACUUUUCAGAAUGGUGCUGCAGAAAAGCGAAGAAGAAGGGUGGCUUGGCUUGAAAUCUUUAUCGCUUCAUGGUUACGAAUUGAGUGGGCACCAAUUAAUGAAUCCCAUCAACAAGACAGUGAAGCUUAAUUAAUAAUACUAUCACUCUACACAUAAAAAUAAAAUAAAAUAAAAUAAAAUAAAACAAAAAUCAAACUCGUAAAUAUCCUUGAUGGAACAUAAAAUCCAUGGAGGUUUUUAUUUAGAAAAACAUUAGCGAAGUAUUUUAUUUAGAAAAUACAAGUGCAAAUAUUAUCUUGUAAAAUGAAAAACGACUAGAUCAUAGAGGUUUUUUUUAGCACACAACUUUUAUAACACCAAUAUAAAUUAUAAAAAAAAAACCCUUCAAAAGAAAUUUAUAAAAAAAGAUUUACCUUAUUUCUCAAUGCAAUGGUACACUACAUAAGUGUAGAAAAUGGCAUUACUUGUGAGAAAUUCAGCAGAUUUAGAAAAAACUAAUUAGAGAAGAAAAAAAAGGGGUAGAAAAUGGAGAAGAGAAGAAAAGAAAUGGUUUCGACGAU